rnacentral:lncRNA from 1 species
AUUAAUUUUGCAAACAUUCUUGAUCUAACUACUGUAACAUAAUUAUUUUGUGCAUUCUUAUUUUCAUUUUUAACCCUUUCUAUUAAUAUUUAAUGAUGAUUUAAUUUUGGAAAUCUUUAAGUUUGUUGAUGCAUUUAUAUAAGAUAAGAUCUAAGUAUGAUAUAUUCAGAAUUUAUACUCGUGUUAUUUUGCAGUUCAUAAAAAGUAAAAAAAAAAUUGUUUUUUAGUAUACAAUUUAAGAUUUUCUAGCUGUGACAACUCCUUGAGCUAACUUUAGAAACUUUUUGUUCCUUUUGUCAAAAAAACAUUCCAAUUAUAAUCCUCUUUUGAAAGCAGAUGAAAUCUUUUCACAGGUGUAGCCUUUAUUAUGUCUCAUUGAUAAAAUUAAGAUCUUUAAUUUACCGAAAUGAAGUUUCAGGUCCUAGUGUAUGACAUAAGCUCUUGAGAACCUCUAUUUAUUAAUACUUACAAUAAUAUAGUCAUAUAUAUUGAGAUUAUGCUACAACAAAUGAUCAAUUAAACAGAUGUUUUAGUAUUUUCUUUAUAACUAGGGACCUCAGAAAGCAAACUAGAGAUUUAGAAAAUAAUACAUUAAGUUCCUUUUAUUUUCUAAGAUUUAAUUUUCAUGACAGUUGUACAUUUGUACAGAAUGCACAUUUAAUAAGUUACUAUUGUGCCUCUUUUAUUUGUUUAUAUCUGAAAGUUAAUCUUCACAACAUGCAUGACUUUUUUUCUCUAUCAUGUAUAAUGAUUGUUAUUGUUGUAUUCUGUAAAGAAGUCUUCAUGAGUUGGUAAAGUUGGUGUCUUAUCCUUUUUGUCUCUUUAAGCAUAUGAAAAAAGUUAUAAAGCAAACUACCAGUGAAAUGUUACUUUAAUAUAUGAAAUAUCCCAAGGUUAUAUUUAAAGUUGAAAAAUAGUGAAGUCAAAAUGAAUGUACUGGGUAAAAGUGCAACACUAAGAGUCUGAAGCUAUGAAACCACUUUUUCAACAUUUCUUAAUCAUUUAAAAGACGCAUUAUUGUACAUACAUUCAAUAGUAAAAUUAUUCAUCUUUGACUAUAUAUCAUGUGAUUACUACAUAUACAAAAAGUUCAAAAGUAAGUUUAUUGUAUGAUAACUUUGGCUUUAGUCAAAUAAGUAAUUUCAGUGUUAUUUUAAACAUUUUUACAGAAGUAAUCAUAUUGUUUUGCUAUCCAAUAAAUCAGUAGAAAUAUUGAUUGUUAAAUGCCUUUUAUAUUAAACAUAUCCAUAGUUCCAUGUAAAAAAUAUGUUUUCUGUUCCUUGACCUUGCAAAGUUUCUAUAGAUCUAUUAGUAUUCUUGUAUUAUUUAUUUACUUAAUACAUGUAUUUUGUAAAAAUAACUUUACUGUUGACAGUAAACAAUUGUAUUGUUUAUACAUUUUCUGGGCUGGCCCAAACAUCAUUUAUUUAAU